UAUUAUUUUCUGUUCAAUACUUUUUCCUUUCAAUUCAUGAAAAUUAUAUUAUUAUUGAAUAAGAACAUAUAUUUUUUAAAUGAGAUAAUUUUCUUUAAUGUCUAAGAUUAACUUCACACGAGCAUUUUUUAUUGAGGCUGGGUCGAAACUGGCUUCCCUAGAACGAGAAGUUUUAUAAAAAAAUUUAUUCGUUAUUAACAUUAAAUUUCAAUUAAGAAUACAGUCUUUUAUUCUAUUCAAUCGUAAAAAUGUGGACAUUUUUUUUAUUAAGACUGUCGUAUAGUAUCCAUCAAAUCAAAAGACGCGGUAGCGGCUCGCGCCAUAUAUAUCUUUUUUAGUCCUUCCAUAUAAAAGACGCUACCGUAUACCAUUUGCAGAAACGGACAAAGUUCUUUUUACAAAUAAAUAGUUGUUUUUCUUAAACAAAUUAAUUGUAUUAAAAAACAAAUAUAGUAAGGAAAAGUAUUGAUUUUUUCGAGUACAAUGACACAAGAAAAAAAAACAAAUAUAGUGGGGCAAAGUAUUGAUUUUUUUCGAGUACAAUGACACAAGAAUGAUGUCCGUAAGUGCAUUCGAUGCCGAGAUAUGAAUUAUGCAUAUAUGUUUCAGUCCGAUUUAUGGUCAUUUAUGGACAUACGUCGUCGUCGUCCUGUCUUCCUCUUCGCAAAAUUUUGGUUUAUCCCCCUUGGUCCAAAUAAACACAACCCGAAUGGGGAACUGUAUAAAUCCAACGGAGGCGGAUACAUUUAAGAACAGAAGUAAUUCUACAGAUGAAAAAUGACACAUUGUUAUUAAGAUACUGAUUAUCAAAAACUUGAACCAAAGCAUAUGUGUAAUUUUGAAUAAAUGAAUUAUAUUCCUCAAA